GUGACUAACAUCACUUCUCUUCUGUUCUUCUUCCUCUCUGCUCUGUCUUCCCUCCCUCGUCUUCCUCUUUCCACAUUUCUCAGAGUUUUUAAGAAGUCGAGCCCCAACUGUAAGGUGACAGUUUACCUGGGAAAGAGGGACUUUGUGGAUCACCUGGACCACGUGGACCCAGUAGAUGGAGUGAUCCUCGUCGACCCCGAGUAUCUGAAGGACAGGAAAGUCUUCGUCACUCUGACCUGUGCGUUUCGAUACGGCCGUGAGGACCUGGACGUGCUGGGUCUGUCUUUCAGGAAGGAUCUCUACAUCUCCACCUUCCAGGCCUUCCCUCCGGUCCCUGAGGAGAAGAAACCCAACAGUCGUCUGCAGGAGAGGCUGCUGAAGAAGCUCGGUCAGCAUGCACACCCGUUCUACUUCACUAUUCCUCAGAACCUCCCGUGUUCAGUCACUUUACAGCCCGGCCCAGAGGACACUGGGAAGGCCUGUGGUGUGGACUUUGAGAUCAGAGCUUUCUGUGCCAAGUCAAUAGAAGAGAAGAUUCACAAGAGGAACUCGGUGCGUCUGGUGAUCAGGAAGGUGCAGUACGCUCCGGAGAAGCCCGGUCCUCAGCCGAUGGUGGAGACGACCCGCAGCUUCCUGAUGUCUGACAGAUCCCUACACCUGGAGCUGUACUACCACGGAGAGCCCAUCAGCGUCAACGUCCACGUCACCAACAACUCCACCAAGACCGUCAAGAGAGUCAAGAUCUCCGUGCGUCAGUAUGCAGACAUCUGCCUGUUCAGUACUGCCCAGUAUAAAUGUCCAGUGGCCCAGCUGGAGGCAGACGACCAGGUGUCGUCCAGCUCCACCUUCUGCAAGGUGUACACUCUGACCCCGACGCUCGACAAGAACCGAGAGAAGAGAGGACUCGCUCUGGACGGGAAACUCAAACACGAAGACACCAACCUGAUGGACCCCCCCAUCGACACCAAUUUGAUAGAAUUCGACACAAACAUCUCCCAGGACGACGACUUCGUGUUCGAGGACUUCGCCCGCCUGCGGCUCAAAGGCGUUGUAGACGACAAGGACGAGGACUGCUAG
rnacentral:lncRNA from 15 species